CCUACGGGAGGCAGCAGUAAGGAAUAUUGGUCAAUGGACGCAAGUCUGAACCAGCCAUGCCGCGUGAAGGAUGAAGGCCCUCUGGGUUGUAAACUUCUUUUAUCUGGGACGAAAAAAGGGCUUUCUAGCUCACUUGACGGUACCAGAGGAAUAAGCACCGGCUAACUCCGUGCCAGCAGCCGCGGUAAUACGGAGGGUGCAAGCGUUAUCCGGAUUUACUGGGUUUAAAGGGUGCGUAGGUGGGUAAGUAAGUCAGUGGUGAAAUCUCCGAGCUUAACUCGGAAACUGCCAUUGAUACUAUUUGUCUUGAAUUAUCUGGAGGUAAGCGGAAUAUGUCAUGUAGCGGUGAAAUGCUUAGAUAUGACAUAGAACACCGAUUGCGAAGGCAGCUUACUACGGAUAUAUUGACACUGAGGCACGAAAGCGUGGGGAUCAAACAGGAUUAGAUACCCUGGUAGUCCACGCCCUAAACGAUGGAUACUCGACAUCAGCGAUACACUGUUGGCGUCUGNGCGAAGANAUAGUAUCCACCNCGGAGACGACGACGAGUAGUAACGUACAAUAGAGUUAGACGGCGUGAGACGUAGACCGACGGACGACGACGAGGGAGGAGG
rnacentral:rRNA from 1 species